AACCUUUAGCCAAACAAGUAUUAAAGGCGACGCCUGCCCAGUGAACUAUUAAACGGCCGCGGUAUCCUAACCGUGCAAAGGUAGCAUAAUCAUUUGUCUAUUAAUUGUAGACCUGUAUGAAAGGCAAAAUGAGAGCCCAACUGUCUCUUAUAACAAAUCAAUUAAACUGAUCUCCUAGUACAAAAGCUAGAAUAACAACAUAAGACCAGAAGACCCUGUGAAGCUUUAACAAACCUAUUAAACCUGAUAAUAAUUACUUUCGGUUGGGGCGACCUUGGAACAAAAAAGAACUUCCAACACAUGACUUCAUCAUAAAACAGGCAUACAAGCCAUAUUAGACCCAGCACAGCUGAUAAUUGAAAUAAGUUACUCCAGGGAUAACAGCGCCAUCUUCUUUAAGAGCCCAUAUCAAAAAGAAGGUUUACGACCUCGAUGUUGGAUCAGGACAUCCCAGUAAUGCAGUCGUUACUAAAGGUUCGUUUGUUCAACGAUUAACAGUCCU
rnacentral:rRNA from 1 species